CUGACAGUCUGCUGGAUGCUGUUGCCAGAAGAGGUUGUCUGUGUUGAGCAGGGUGCUCAGCUCUCCACGAGAUGCUAAAUAUCUACUGAGGUUAGAGACUUUUUGAGGUAAAGAGGAGCAUCUCAUCUGAACCUGAUGUCUAUCAUGGAUAUUUAACUGCAGUUCUGUGAGUAUCCCAACUUAACC